GUUUGCUUUAGAUGUAAUACAAUGUGUAUACAUGAUUUAAGGUAAAAAAAAAAAGACGCUGUAUUUUCCACAUACCGAGCAUGUUUGUAUCUCCUCUUUGCUCUGCCUCUAAGAAACGCGCUGAUAUUUUACAAAGCUCAUCGCUCUAGAAAAGCGAGGUGUGCUAUGAUUGGCCAGUUCACUAGUGCGUAGUGAUUGGUCGAAUACUGCACGGAAACGUAACGCCUCUUACCAUAAUCGGAACAUCAGGUUGGGCAGGCGACGGUACAAUGAGAUUUACAAGACCGCCCACCUUAAUUGCGGUUAAAUUUGGGCGGUCUUAGUCAAAUGGUGUUAGGAACUGACGUAGAUUCGCCGGGGUGUGGUUACACGAGGCGUUUCGGACAGGGGCCCGUUUCAGAAAGCAGGGUAAGUGCAAACUCAGAGUAAGUCAACCCCAGAAAACGGAAUACUCAGGGUUUUUGGUUUCAGAACGCGAGGUAUGUCAAACCCGCGACCACGGAGUAAGUCAAGCCCAUUUCAGAAAUCGAGGUAUUUUAUACUCCGAGUGAGUAACCAGAGUAACCUACUCCGUGAACCUAACCUGGUCGGGAGCAGGUUUUAUUCCGCAAACCUAGGGUUUGUUACAAUCUCCUCCCCCUUUUCGAAGUGAAAGCGAGCGGUGUUGAAAUUACAUACGUCAUUUGUUUAUUGAUUCGUGUUCCUAAUCGCGCUCAAUUUAGUCACACAGAACUUAAAAUGGCAUGUCCGUUUAUUUAGGAACCCAUAGAAGAGGAAGCUGCAUUAAUUCGCAGAGAAUUAUAUUUAUGUCGGGAGAGAAUUGUGAGGCCCCGUUUGGACGUUUUAUCUUAACUUUUAAGGCCAGUUUAAGAAGUAUAUUUAACAUUUCCCAAUCAGGCAUCUUACUAGCAAGACCAUUUUAUUUCUUUAAAGUUUCCUGAAUAAAUGAUGUUAUUGUAUUUCUACGACGGCGUUUUAGUGGCACGUUAAAAAUAAAAUAAAUUCAAGAUUACGAGAUUAAAGUCGAAAUGUUACGAGAUUAAAGUCGAAUGUUACGAGAAUAAACUCGUCGUAAUACGUAUUUUAUUUUCGUGAAGGUUGUAGUUUAAGAGUUGAAGUUAUGUUUGAGCACGUCAUCUGAAUCAGUGAGUUAAUUCGUAGUUCAUGUCAGAUUUUUUCUUCUGAAUAAAUUCAGUUUCCUACAUAACGGCUGCAGUGUCCUUUUACUAAUUAUAACUCCGUGAUGAUGCGCCAAAAUACAAAGAAUUUCCUUAUUGCUAAAUCAUAAUCUCAAGUAGGAUUUAACCAAAUCCUCCACAUCCAUUGUUUCUAGAAAUUCUGUUAUUUUUCUCAAAAUAUUACGACUUUAUUCUCGUAACAUUUCGACUUUAUUCUCGUAACAUUUCGACUUUAUUCUCGUAACAUUUUGACUUUAUAUUUCGACUUUAUUCUCGUAACAUUUCGACUUUAUUCUCGAAAUGUUUUUUUUUUUACGACGCCGUCGUAUAUUUCAUAUUCAGCUGCUGCCAAGAUCUUUUUAUUGCAAAAGGAUAGCACCUACAUGAGAGCGAGAGAGUUAAAUAUAAUUUACAUUUUCACAGUUUCAACAAAAUAAAUAUAAAAGUGAUUGACAUAUAAACUGGCGCAUUAACAAGUGAAGCACUUUUCUCCCAUACCAACUCUCUUUCUUUUGCUGCUGCGGCUGUGUUGCUCUUUUUUUCUUAAUAUUCACCUUACGCUUGUAACAGUACCUUCAAUUCGAUUGGCGAGAAAUGAACAGAGCGCUUUUUGUCACGUGCCGUUGCCAUGGUGAAUCGUGCUAUCUUCACUCAAUUGAUAAUGGCUUUUCAUCGCCAUGCUGAACGCGCGUAACCUAGAGUGAACUUACUCAGAGUGGAUUGAACUAACUCAAAUCAGCUGUUCUGAAACUGAAAACUCAGAGUAGCGAUUCUCUGAGUAAAUCAACUCAGAGUUCAGAUUUUAACUCGGUGUUGGUUGAACUUCCUUAUUGAAACGGGCCCCAGGUCUGGGUAGGCAUUUGCCUCUAGAUAAAAUAUAUAUUUUGUUCCGACACUUACAUUUUUUUAAUUUUACGUGUAUAAUACAUGCAUGGGCAACUUAUAACACACCAAAGACAAAGAAAAACACGUAUUUCCGGCGAUCACCGCUUUAAACAGAGUCAUUUGUAACUGCAGUUGCGGCAUUACGCCACAGUGGAGGCGCUAUUUCGUUAUCAGAACUGUGAGGCGCUGAAGAGUUUAGUAGAAGAGCUUAGUAGCUGUAUAAGCUGUGUUUGACGGCAGUUCAUGUGUUUUACGUUAAAAAAAAAAAAAUAAGUUAACGUGCUAUACAUCAUUGAAAUGGUUUUAGAUGUGAAGUUGGCUCGUAGAAUCAGCGUUAUACUCUGUACACAGCGAGUUCGCCAGUAUGAACGCACAUUGCGAUCAGACCGACUCGCACACAAAUGACUCAUCUGAACCGAUUCAUUUUAACAGAAUGUAUGAGAUCAGCGAUUCAUUCAGAGCUCUGUGAACAACAAGAGAACGUAUGUAGGAUGUGAAUGAACUUUGCGCAUUUUGUUAGACUGGUUAAUUAUCACCUGAAAAGUUUGGUAAGCUUGCAUUUAAAUUUUCAACUUUUCUGUUCAGAUGAAUAAAAUGAAUGUUUUUUUUUAUAACUUAUUACCCAGCGGGCACCUCGAUGUCAAUUUGACGUCAAAUUUCAGACAAGAUUUGAUCAAGAUGGUGCACCACAUCAUUUCAAAUUCAAAUCAUACAUUAAAUUCUUCAAGGUUUUUAAUGAGGUGAAAAUAUGAGGUUUAUCCCAUACUGAAAUUGGUUAAUGUAAGUAUAGCCCAAUAUGUUUGACAUUGAAAUGACGUCAAAUCAACGUUGCAUUAUAGGCAUUCAUUUGAUGUUGUAUUGACAUCAUAUUGACAUCAAUGUAAAUCCAGUUGAAAUAGCAUUUUUCUUCUAACUGGCCCCUCAAAAUGCAUCUAUUUGUCACAUCUUUUGAAGCAGUUCUUGGAUUUGUACAUGAAAGUGGACUGCUGUAACUUCUGUGGUAAAAAACACUUUUUUUAAAAGUAUGUAAAUACUCAUGCUGAAAUAAAAGGAAACAGUGAUUGUUAAAUUUUACAAGAAAAUAUACUGAUUUGCCAAUAAUACAUUCAGAUGUAAUUACAAUUUAAAAUAUUAAAAACAAAAGCAGCAUUUUUGCUGUAACCCCACAUAAAGUAUUAUGUAUCCUUAUUUUUGUUAUUUAUAGUGAUAUUAUAUUACUGUAAAAUUAGAAAAACAUUGCUGUAAUUGAAAAUACUCAUAAAAUUGUAAUACCUUAUAAUGUAUGUACCAUUUUUACAGUAUUACAACUUCAUGUUCAUUUUAGUCAAAAAACUCUUAUAAAUUUUUUAUAAAUUUUUAUUUUUCCUUAAUUUUUAUUAAUAAUCAUUAAUUAAUCAUUAAUUUUAUUAUGAAAAAUGUUGGGCCUACAAUGCCCAUUCAUUCUCUGUAGUUUUAAUGCCCAUUUAUUAUCUGUCUUAUGUAUUUCUUAAUACCACCUGUAGACGGCGCCAUGGCCUAUUUCACAUUUCCGGGUUUCUCAGCAGCUGAAGUUAGUGAAUGGACUACAACAAUUAAUUUAUUUUUUGUGUGAAAUUUGAUGCAAAUGUAGUAUAACAUAUUAUUUUAUACAUACACGUAAAAAUAUAAAAUUUAUAAAAAUAUUUGGAGGAUUUACUACGUUGACCGUUGAAACGUACGUCAUCACGUCUUGCGUAGAGGCCAGUGUUUGCUAUGCGGUCGAAGCAUUGGACAAGGUUGUCGCUUUUUAUCAGAAUUCUUACAAACAAAUUGAUGUCAACAAUGAAUAUGGAUGGCUCAGGAAUGAAGAAGGCCUUUGGAAAACACGGCUAUGUCGUGUUAUAAUAGGUGCACUACAGCAGUCCAAACCUUCAUUAUCAGAGGCUGAAAU